UCGAUUUGGAGUUUGUUGCCCUGAGUGAUGGGCUCCGAAGCUAACGCGAUAAAUCGACCGCCUGGGGAGUACGGCCGCAAGGUUAAAACUCAAAUGAAUUGACGGGGGCCCGCACAAGCGGUGGAGCAUGUGGUUUAAUUCGAUGCAACGCGAAGAACCUUACCUGGUCUUGACAUCCACAGAAUCUUGCAGAGAUGCGAAAGUGCCUUCGGGAACUGUGAGACAGGUGCUGCAUGGCUGUCGUCAGCUCGUGUUGUGAAAUGUUGGGUUAAGUCCCGCAACGAGCGCAACCCUUAUCCUUUGUUGCCAGCGGUUUGGCCGGGAACUCAAAGGAGACUGCCGUUGAUAAAGCGGAGGAAGGUGGGGACGACGUCAAGUCAUCAUGGCCCUUACGACCAGGGCUACACACGUGCUACAAUGGCGUAUACAAAGGGAGGCGACCUCGCGAGAGCAAGCGGACCUCAUAAAGUACGUCUAAGUCCGGAUUGGAGUCUGCAACUCGACUCCAUGAAGUCGGAAUCGCUAGUAAUCGUGAAUCAGAAUGUCACGGUGAAUACGUUCCCGGGCCU
rnacentral:rRNA from 1 species